GCGACACCUAUGAGCCGCAGUUGGCGGAGGGUGGCGCCAUCUAUGAGAAAAGGUUUAGCGUAGGUAUUGGGGGAGCGCCUGGAACAAAACGAAUUCCGGUAGUUCGCCAUUUGUGGACCCCAGGAGCCAGCCCGCCGAAAAUCCGGCGUCGGUCCGCUUAUGGGUAUGGGUGGGAUCAUUCCCAAGCAAGAUCUGCAACAAGCCAGACGUGUCAGCAAGGCGCUAAGCAGCAAAACCACGGGAGAAAAACCAACAAUAUUCGAAGAUCCCGCCGGCAGUUGUGACAAUUAAUUUUGGGGACGCUCAAAGGCUCCCAAUUGUCCACCGGCGUCAGUAAACCGAGUGUAGAGGUGGAAGUGGUGGCUCGAGGAAAACCCAGGGCAGGCCGAGCAAAAGUCCGAGUGGACUAUUCCGUGUCCACUAUUAAAGAACUCCAGGUGGCUCAACUAAGGAAGUCCAACCAAAGGCGGACGGAGGAGCACCGAGGAAGGAGAAGAAAUCCCGGCCUAAAAUAGGCUAACCGCAGCAAGUUCGCUUCGAACCGAAGCUAGGUUCGAGCGAACGGAGGAGCGCAGAGGAGGCGCUAACCGCAGUGUAGCGCGAUCUUCAAGAACGGGAGGGAGGAAAACAUCGGAGGUGUCCCAGUAAAAGGUCCAGGCUGAAUGGAUAUUCCAGCUUUGGAUCCGGUCCGUAGUGUCCCUGGCCAGUGAUUUCAAGGAGCCAUAUUAGAGAAGCAGUGUAAACCCAAAGUGAAAUGGAUAAGAUUUAAGCAAGAAAAAAAACAAGAAAAAAAUCGGAAGAAACCCGGGAAAAAAAAAAAGGUUUAAGGAAGCAAAGAAAAGUUUUAACGUAACGUUCCUAAUGGCUUGAUCGGGAAACAAGGCUAGUCAGAGGAAAUUCAAUGUCGCUUCAAAUUGUGUUAUUGUUUUCGUGGAUUUAUUUAAUUGUGCCGCCCCAGUGGGGAAUAAUUUGUAAGGCAUAAAAACUUUGUUUCAGCGACCCCCCCGAAAGCGCUUUCGUCGUGGGAUGCAGCAAGGAGUUCUCAUGGGGAAUAAUUUGUAAGGCAUAAAAACUUUGUUUCAGCGACCCCCCCGAAAGCGCUUUCGUCGUGGGAUGCAGCAAGGAGUUCUCAGUGAGUAAAACCGGCCAAUUUGUUUUAUGUGACAAUUUUGUUUUGAUUUUUAAUCCUUGGUGUCCCGACCAAUGCGGACUCUAAGAGUCACAAGUUUUCCUAUGUGUUUUUGGUUCCUUUAAUUUUUUUUUGUUUGGUUUUUAAAAGAAAAAAAAAUAAUUAUUAAUACCCAGUCUUUCACUUUGAUUUACGUUGUUGAUUCAUAAUUUUAUUUAAUUCUAUCAAUUUUAACUUGUGCUAUUUGCUAAGCCAAUUCUAAGCUGAUAUGUACGCCUUGAUGUUUAUUUACAUUUAUUUAUUGAAAUUUUAUUAGCUUUAGUUCUUUUUAUACGCAUUUGCCAUGAUCCAAUUUUAUAUGUAUGUUCUAUCGUAGGAAUAAAUAUUUUAUAAUGUUUUAAACCAUCAGUUUUAUGCCGCAGCUAGCAGAGAGUAGGUAGUAGGAGUACCCAUGGAAAGGGGUCGCUCGCAGGAUGUGGAAAGCGAGCGAUCAUUGGUAGGGUGGGCACGCGAGAGUCGCCCCAUGACACCUGGGUGACUCGUAAGUAAGGCGCAGGAAGGGAACCCCCCCCAUCUCUCACCAUCCUAGGAUAUCGGGACUCUUUCCGGAGAGUAGAUAUUUCGUCGCGAGCACGCAUUUGAA